rnacentral:rRNA from 1 species
GAUGAACGCUGGCGGCGUGCCUAAUGCAUGCAAGUCGAGCGAACGGACGAGAAGCUUGCUUCUCUGAUGUUAGCGGCGGACGGGUAAGUAACACGUGGAUAACCUACCUAUAAGACUGGGAUAACUUCGGGAAACCGGAGCUAAUACCGGAUAAUAUUUUGAACCGCAUGGUUCAAAAGUGAAAGACGGUCUUGCUGUCACUUAUAGAUGGAUCCGCGCUGCAUUAGCUAGUUGGUAAGGUAACGGCUUACCAAGGCAACGAUGCAUAGCCGACCUGAGAGGGUGAUCGGCCACACUGGAACUGAGACACGGUCCAGACUCCUACGGGAGGCAGCAGUAGGGAAUCUUCCGCAAUGGGCGAAAGCCUGACGGAGCAACGCCGCGUGAGUGAUGAAGGUCUUCGGAUCGUAAAACUCUGUUAUUAGGGAAGAACAUAUGUGUAAGUAACUGUGCACAUCUUGACGGUACCUAAUCAGAAAGCCACGGCUAACUACGUG